CUACCCCACCCAAGAUGACUGCUGGAAACAACUACUGGGGAAAAGAACUAGACUCCAGCAGGAAGGGCAUCUGGCCUGUGAAGAAGAUUAUUAGAAGCACAUUUAGGGAGCCAUGAAGUUGUGUUACUUCCUUGUGCCCAAUACUGAUUAAACAGUCAUGAUUACUAAUGAGGAAGCAAAAGGUAAAAUGCCAAUCCUCAUCUCACAGAGGGAAUGAAGACUCUUCUCUAUAAUGGAGGCAUGGGGCUUUGGGAAGAACACAACAGGUCUUGGAACUGUUUGUGGUUGUCCAGAGGAGAUGACUAGGCUGGAGCAACUGCAUCAUUGGGAAAAAAAAUAUUGAAGAGGAUCAGUUCUGGAUACUAGCGAUUCUGAUGCAGGCCAGGUAGUGGCAAGAAUGAACUGGAGAGGAAUCGGUCUGCACCACCUUUUAUACCCUCAGCAUGGGAUAACUGGAGAGCAAGGGCACAGGCAUGGACCUACAGACACUACGUGCUAGAAUUCUCUGGUCUCAGGCAUACUGAGUGCAUGCAUGCCCACAUAGGAAUACACAUAGGGACCAGCACUCAGAAAAGAACCUGCAAUAAAUACCCAGUAAAAUGCAAACUGACAUCUUGUAUGCUGAAAUGAACCAACAGAACUACCUGCCUUCCCAUUUGAAAGUUAUGUCCUAACAAACUUCAGUUUGGGGAGAUAAUUGUGUGCAUUUGUGGGUAGGCUAGAAUCUUUGGUAGGUGCCAAAUACAAAUUAAAUCAAUAAAAAGUUCCAUGCCAUAUUUAUGGUGACAAGACUCAGGGGGGAGGUGUCUUAGUACCUGACUUAGCUUAAAUAUCAUUGAAUUAAACCCUAAAAUUUCUAAAUGGCAAUGUAGAAAGUCAAGCUAUUCCAAACAAUGAUGUACUGAUGUUACUAGAAGAACUGGUAAUGACAUCUUAAGAUUGCACAUCUGAGUCAGGAACCCAUUAAGUGUAUUCUCAUUUUCUCCCCUCUGUAAAGAUUGACCCCUAGAAACAACCUGAACAUUUUUUAAAGAUUGCUUCAAGAAGUUAACAAAUUUGAAAUUUGCUUAAGAUGAAAUGAGAAAUCUGGGAAGUAUGGAGAUUUUUUUUAGAAAAAAUGAAUAAAUAUUUGCUUGUAAUUGUGCCUAAAUGACAGAAUGUGGGGCAUCUGGAUUUGGGUAAAACAAAUCAUGAGUGAAGUUAGGAAAAAAAGAAAACAUUUUAGAUCCAUAACAUUUCUUAACACGCACACAUAACUCUGGGCUAGAUUUUGAGCCCUAGACUCACAUUAUUGAGCAGUUACUCAGACUAUCAAUAUUCCAUUUCAUUGAUGUUAAUGGGACCAUUAAUGUGAGUAAUUUCUCACCAGUGGUAAGAGGUUCACAAUUCUGUUGUCAUAUUAAGGUCCUGAUUCAGCAAGAUACUUUCACAAGUGAGUAGCCUCAUUGACUUCACUGGGACUAAGUAUAAGUACAGUUUUGCAUGUUUCUAAAUACCUGGAUGAGUCAGGCCUUAAAUUCACACACACAGUGCCAUAAACCAAUAGCUUGAGUUACUCUGUAAUGAGGACCAAAAACAGUGUAUCUGACAUGGGAAAAACAAACAAAAAAACCCUAAACAUAAUAGUGAUAGAUUAAAAUUAGAGGGUUGACUGAGUAAAAUUUGGAAAAUAUGGGAGCACUGUGAUGGGAAGAGAGAAGACGGCAAGCACAGGGAAAAAGCAUGUCUCAGUGUGAAAUAUCGUUACAAUCAGCAAGUUCAGGGAGGCACUUGCCCUCUCACAGUAUUCUUUGCUACACUGGUUGCCACCAUGCACUUCUGAGGCAGCGCUUUCUUUCAUAGCAACUAUAACAAUAAGGUAAAGGAGCAAAAAUUAUGGGUGGUCACUUUGCAGGAGAAGAAAACAUAAUUUUAUAGUCUUGCCUCUGUAUUCGCUUUACCUGUAGUAUUAAGCCAAUCAGUGAAUAAAAGUGAUACAACAUUUUUGCUGUAGUACACUGUUUGGAUGGACAAAAAGGUUUUUUAUAUAUAUUAGAUAUUAAAGUACACGAAAGAGUGAGCAGCUUCCUAGACAACCAUGAGAUGUCCCAUUUUAUGGUGCUUGGGACACCAAAUUUGCAGUAUUUUCUACAGUAGAACUCUGGAGUCAUCGUCUUCUAAUCUAACCAACAUUUUUUUUUUAAAAAAAAUUCCUGUUCUUGCCAAGCUAAAGAGAGCAGAUUACACCAAUAUCAUCAGGACUAUACUCCCAUAAAGAUUUUUGCAUAACACUAGGGGCUUACUGUGCCUGAGUUCGAACUACAAUGGGUCAAAGUAUGGGCUGUCGUAACAGAAAAGUUUAUAUUCAUGCUAUUUUCAAAUAAACAUAAAAAAAUUGCAUCAGCUUUACAUUUAAAGGCUGAAUACCUCAAACGGCAAGAGUAAUUUAGCAAUGUAGCAUAUAGAUUGACUUCAAACUUCCUCCUUU